rnacentral:rRNA from 1 species
UUCCUACGGGGGGCAGCAGUGGGGAAUAUUGCACAAUGGGGGAAACCCUGAUGCAGCGACGCCGCGUGAGUGAAGAAGUAUUUCGGUAUGUAAAGCUCUAUCAGCAGGGAAGAAAAUGACGGUACCUGACUAAGAAGCCCCGGCUAACUACGUGCCAGCAGCCGCGGUAAUACGUAGGGGGCAAGCGUUAUCCGGCUUUACUGGGUGUAAAGGGAGCGUAGACGGCAUGGCAAGUCAGAUGUGAAAGCCCGGGCCUCAACCC